AUUGGACUGAAGUAAAAUAUUUAUUUAAGAAGCAUUUCAAUUUGUAUGGCUAUGUUUCAACUAAAGUAGAGGUUAAUCAAUGCAAAAACAGUUACUAUUCUGGUACAGAGUGCUAAAUUAGGAGCAGUCAGUGUGGAAAUCAGUUGGGUCUGUCAAUAUUUAGCACUUUCCCCCAUAAUAGCACCUGUUUUGUCUUGAUAAAUUUCCCCUAAAGGUUCGUGUGACAGCUAGAAUAUUUGUUUUACAGUUUGCUCUAUGUAUUGCUUAGGUAACCUGUCAAAUAAAUAAUAGUUCUUUAAAAAGGCACUGACAUGUUCCACAUAUGGCGGUUAGUGUACUAGCGGAAAAAAAGCAUGUUUACGAUCCUGCUCGAUGUAAUCAGAGCUAGGCAGGGACCAGAAUAACUAUUACUUUAGCUUCUCCUGAGCUAACACUAAUAUGAUUCCCCUGCUUUAACCUCCAGUUUUCAACUAUAUCUUCAAUCAUCUGCUAUGAAAUAACUUUUCACUAAAAUUUUAAAAAGAUUGCUGAGCUCAACCUUUCAUAUAUUUAGAAUCCUUCUUAACCAACAGGCUAUGUAAAACACAAAAUAGCAAUUCUGUUGUAAAGUCUACAUGCAUCACAACAAG